AAAACGCCCAAGCAGAUAGAAAACAAGGAGAACAUUCCUCCUUCUAGGACAGAAGCUUGCACACCCAAACCACCACUGCAGUCAUCUCAUGGAGGAAAGUCAAUGGACCUUAAGAAGCAGCAAACUGCUAGAAAGAUAGCUAGUCUUUUGAGGAAUCCAUCUGCACUUAGGCCCAAAAAUCAGUCACAGUCGUCGUCUCAACUGAAAGGAACUAAUCAGAAAAGUGUGAAAAGGUACACUCUUCAUAAACAUUCCAUACCCGAAUCUGGUUUCACGUUCCUCUUGUAAUCGUUUUGUUAUGUGUUAUGAUGGCUCAUUGCAGGGUAACGAGUCCCAAGAACAUAGCUGGCACUACCAGUCUGAUUCAGGAUAACCAAGCCAUCAAAAAACAAAAGCUAGAUGAUGGAAAAUCAAGACAGGUGAGCCAAAAUUUUCAACAACAUCAAGCUUAACUUCAUAUCUCACUGCAUGACUGAAACUGUUACCUCCUCAUCAUUGUUUUUUUCUAGAUUCUAAAUCCAAAACCAACAACUCUGCUCCACAAGACAAGGCAAGGUCUCGUUAACACCGGUUUCAACGUAUGCCCUUCGGUCACUAGGCAAACUCCGAAGGAGAACAGAAAGGUACGUUCUGCUUCAUGGAUGCUUAUAUAAAGUUUUUUGACAGGCUCUGGUUCUCAACUCUUGUGUGUUCACUCUUUAGGUUUAUGUCCGUGAGCAAGUUGCACCUUUCAUGUCAACUGCUGAGCUGAUGAAAAAGUUCCAAACAAGCACGCGAGACAUGUCACUGCCUCAUGCCAACCCUUCUCUUCCACAGGUAAACUCUUGAUACUUAUUCCUUUUUAUUUUCUUGGAAUAUCUUCAAUUAACUUCCAGACCGCUGCUGCUUUCCUUGUGCAGAACCGAACUAAGUUGACACUGACAAGACCAAAGGAGCCCGAAUUUGUGACAUCCCAACGAGCUCGCCCUGUAAGAGUGAAGAGCAGUGCAGAGCUUGAGGAAGAGAUGUUGGCAAAGAUUCCCAAGUUUAAAGCUCGACCUGUGAACAAGAAGGUAAUGCAUCUGGUUUCACAGUGGUAUAUAUUUACCUCAUAAAUAGAAAUCUAAAACAAAACAAUGCAUUCUCUUUUUUUUUUGAUGCAGAUUUUGGCAGCUCCAGCUUUGCCUGCGCCUCAGAGAAGCACACCACAACUGCCAGAAUUUCAGGUAGAGACAGACAUUCAGAGAGUAUGAUCAUUUUAGAAACGAAUCUGUUAUUGAUCUACAAGAGGCUCAUAUCUUACUAUUUGCAGGAAUUCCAUCUUGAAACAAUGGCGAGGGCUAGCCAACAUGCAGAGACAUCUUCAAUUGCUUCAACAGAAGUGUCUAAGCAGGUAUGGAACUUAUUCUUUGGCUACAGAAAUGUUUUAUGUACUUGGUUUCAUGCCAUCUGAUAUGCCUCUGUUUUCUUUGCACCCAGCAUAAUGAUUGUAGGCCUCACCUUACUGCACCAAAGAGCCCCGUGCUCCAAACAAUGCUAAGAGCUCGUCCUACGAAAGCAAAAACAACUGCGGAACUUGAGCAAGAGGAACUAGAGAAGGCACCAAAAUUCAAAGCAAAACCUUUAAACAAAAAGGUACUACUAAACAAGUGAUAUAGAUAACUUACAUCUACUUUUUAUAUCUCGAUCUAACUUGUAAGCACAUGAACCCAUCCAGAUAUUUGAAAGUAAAGGAGAGAUGGGCAUCUUUUGCAACAUGAAGAAGCACAUAACCAUACCUCGGGGACCCAUGUGACGGCGCGUGAGGGAGUUUGUGGAAAUAAUGUUUCUGGCGUGUUAGCUCCAGCGGUUACUGGAUUUUUCUUAGAUCUCCCGCAUGCUACUGCGUCGAGAGAGGAGCUGGUUCGAGGUUUCCCAGUCCGGUUCGAGCCAAUGGAAAUGGGAUUGAGUAUCGGUCUGAGAACUACCGUGGAAGUCAAGAGGGAUGCCGCUGAUUAUAAGCUUGGAAGGGAUCUGAAUCUAGAACUUAGCUUAGCUCCAUCGAUGGACGUUUAGUCAUCUUUUUUUUGUACUAGAGCUUAAUUUUUAAUUUAACAAGAAUAUCCUUUUUAUAUUAAAGAAAAUUAUCCCUUUUCAGUUCGUCUUGAAGAAAUAUAUUUUUGUCAUUUCUUUAUUGUGGCUGUACUCCUUAUUGGUAGAUUUAUGUUUCUAUACUUAGGUGUUAUAUCAUUUGUUGUCAAUAUGUUUCUACUGUACUGAGGUUGGUCGAUUUUGGACUAGAGAUAAAAAAAAAACCAAAAGCAACAAAAAAACCUUAACUAUUUGUGACAUUUUAGUCUAGGCUUAAAAAGUUAAAAAAGUAAAAAAAAUGGUAAUUUGAAUUAUUUAAGAGGACCUACUUAAAGUCCUAACCAUUUGGGUCUUGACGAGGGAUGAGCAGAUGAGGUAUUGGUGUCAGGUGGGUGUUCACGUGUGCUUUUCGCCGUCCACAAGACACGUAGUAGAAUAACAAAAGUUUUCUUAUUCCUUCCCUUGUCUAAAAAGUCUUCACGCCUCUCUCAUCGUGGCGGUACUCAGUUAAUGAAUCAUGGCGAUACGUAGUUGUGGAUUUAUACUUUAUUCUCUCUUCCCCAUUGUUAAUAAGGAGGACUAUAAUCCACAGCUGGAGUAUUUACAUGUUUGUAAAUCCCAAACAUGCAUGAAUGUAUCUCAUACUAUAUAGUGUUAAUGGACACGUCUCAUUGUGAACAUCUGUCGACCACAACACAUGCCUCCUAUAUAUGAAAACUAAUUGGUUUCGCGAGGUGUCCAAAAUAAAACUUAUCAGUCUUUUAUACGAUAAAGUAUAUGACCAAAUCGUCAAUAAUUUCCUUCUGGAAUACAACUAUAUUCUAGUCGACAAACACAGCCAAAAAAAACAUAACACGUUUCAACGUGAGAGAUUUUGAAUAAUUUGAGAAUAGCGCAAAUGAAUCUGAUUAUACAUGUGAUCGUUACUCAUGGACAAACACGUUUUGGAAUUAGAUGGAACACUUUCAAGAAUGAUAUACCAUUGUUUUCUUCAAAAGAACGGGUAUAAUAUUCGUAUAUAUCCACUUUCUAACUCUGUUUGAUUCUAACUAAGCCUAAGCAUGGCCUGUUCAAUUAUAUAUAGCUUUUAUACGUACGUCCUUAUUCGCGUCCUGAACAUCCUGCAGUUUAUUUCCUUCCUAAUAUAUCAUCUAUUAUCAAAAUCCAUAAUGAUGGGAAAAUCCAUGGACCGACCCCAUCCUGGUAAAUAGUCCGAAUCCAGUGUUAACGAUGUGACGGAAAGAAAUAUACACCGAAGCGAAAAUAUUCAUAGAAAUAGUGAAACAUUAUACAAUCCGAGUCCACAUGAUACAAGUUCAAACAUAUUAUUGGGUAAAAUCCAACCAAAAAGAUAUAAUUCUAGAAACAAAGACAAUACAGACGAUUCUUAAUUAGCUCUCCUGGAGAUCCGUAGAACAAUAAAAUCUCGAAAACAAAUUUCAACAACAAUCCCUCCAUGCAUACUGAGGGAACCGUUGACACUGAUCAUUUUUCCCCAUGAUUCAUGAACGUAAAUUAAUCUCCACCAGAAUAUACAUUCGUGGAUCUAUCAAGUCAAGAGAUCAUUCACCCAUCCAAUAUCAGGGUCGCCACAAGAACCAUCCUCAAACCUAGUCUUGUCCCUAACCGCCGCAGGUGUAAACUCAUUCACUUCUCGCUGGCGAGGAGUGUAAUCAUCGCUGAAGAAGCUUGCCCUAGGUGAGUUGGCUAGGUAACUUGGAGUGGAAGGCGAGAGGGCGAAUUGUAACGGACUGCUUUGUUGCUGUUGUUGGAUAUGGAGACGCUGAGUGCUCAAACCGCAGGACGAGGCGUUUGCAAACGCCGCAGCUGCCGCAGAAACAGGCGAAGGAGAAGGGGAACUCACCUGCAAGGCUUCCGCUAGGGUAAUAGAAUCCAACGAAUUAACAAGGUCGUUUAAAACAUCUUUAUAGUUAACCGAUCCUGCGGCUGCAGCAGAAGCGGCGCAACUCCUCAGCCGUGAGAAGGCAGCAGCUUUGUGAGCCGGAGAAAGAGGUGGAGAUGAGGAGGGAGAUCGAGAAAGAUGAGACAAGUUACCCAAAAGAGUACUCGUCGGAGAACCGCUACAAAACAAACAGCAAGGAUUCUGAUUCUUGGCAGGAGACGCAGAGGCUGAUGAGCCGCCGGAAUCAUUUUCCGGCGGAAGAACCCUAAGCUGACGUGGCGAAUGAGCGAAGAAACAUACUUUUCUCUUACAGUGUUUACCAUCUUUACAAGCCUCAGUACGGUAACGAAUAGGAUGGAGCCAACACUCAAAGACUCCAUGAGCAAACUCACAGUCAUCUCCACGGCUGCAAUCACCACCACGACGAAACUCGGGACAAACCUCACCCGAGUAUUGAAACCUACGAGGGUCACGACGGCGAGCUUUCUCUCCGGGAUGAGCAAAGGGACAGUCAGUCCAGUCGUGGCUUCGGCUACGGGUACAACGUCGGAUCUUGAAUUCGAACAUACGGAAAUGAUCGCUCGCGUAAGGAUCAUCGGUGUCGGAAUCAUAACAAUACUCUUUAGUAUCUUUGUUGUUGUUGGUGUUGUCUUCGUUGAAGCUGUCCUCUCCUUGUUCAGAUGUAGAGAUCUUGUUGCUCUUGUUGUUCCAGUUAUGUUUACGCGGCGAAGAACGAGGGGAAGCCUCCCCUGAAAAAGACUUGGAGGACAAUAGAAGCUUCCGAGGUGGAAUCUCAACCGUUGGUCUCACGACGUCCAUGACUAAUAACAAGAAGACGAAGACUUGUUUUGUUUAUUCUUGUGUUAUAGUUUGAGAGAUGAGCGCAAGAUGAGAGAACAUGAUAUUGCAUGCGGUCUAUUUAUACGGGAGUUUGAGUAUGGAUACAGACACGAGAAUAAGUUAAAACAUAUAUAAAAAUAUUGUUAGUUUUAGCUUUUUUUAGAUUAUUACAUCUGUUUUAUGAAUGGUGAUGAGAUGUAAUAAGAAGACAAAAGUUGAAAGGAGAAGCGUGAUAUGGUAUGGGGAGAGGAGUCGUGGCAAGAGAAGAGAAGAGUAAGAGAGAGGUCUCAUGCAAAGAAGCAGGAGCUGCCUUUCUCUCCUUGCUUCAGACCUAACACAUGUGCUUAUGUUUUCAUCAUCAUAGUCACCUCUUCUCUCUCCCUUAUCAAUAUCCAUUAACUAUCUCUUCCUUUUUCGAUUUGUUUUCUUGUCAAAUUAAUAAAUAAGUAGAAAAACAACUUUUUCAUUACAAAAUUUAUUAAAUUUGUAAAUCAUACGAACCUAAAAGAUUAAUGUACAUGAUUCAAUAAUAUAUAUAGUGGCAUAUUUAAUUUUAUAUUAUACAAAUUUAGAGGGUUCAUAAUUUGCGUACAUCGAAUCUAACAAGACUUUGCAACACAGAAAGGAUAGGCACAAGAUAUAAUACAAGUCCAGCUACAAAAGAUGUUUCAGAAAAUACGUCUUUAUAUUUCAUACGCCAUUUAUCAUCGGGUUAUACAUGAAUUAAAUAAUACCAAUACUUGUAUUUCUCAAAGGGCAGGAUGCAUGUGUAUGUACAAGUGUCACGUUUUCGAUUGGUUGCGUGGCUGUGAUGGAAGCAAAUACAUUUUUGGUUUCUACCUUCAUGGUUUCAGCUCAUAUAUUAAUAUUUUCGAUGACUUUUACGUCCAAAGUUUAGAAUAAAUCAAGUUCGAAUAUGUAUUUUCUUUUGGAAUUGGAUAGAGAAACACGAUAAAAAGGCAACACAAACGAAGCGGUAAUUUACAUUAUUAAACAGUAAACGAUAAAUAUAAUAAACGGCAAAAAGAACAUUGUUUUUGUUAUUAUAUAGGCAUUAAUUUCUGGUUUUUGAGAUCAGUGAAAUGUUUUUGGACCGGUAUUCAUUUUGGCAUCAUUGUGACUCUAAUUUGGAGGUAUCGUCUAUGUCCUUACGUGCGUCAUUGUUCUACAAAUUCCAAAGCUUCUAAAUUUGGUGCUUAUUAGAGAAACAACCUUGUAAUUUGACGGCAAAAUAUGUUCAGUAAUCAUCUGAUGAAGAUUUAUUAUUGCAAUCGGUUCAGAGGGACCUUGAAGUACGUUUGCGCAUUUAGUGAAGAGAGACACUGAUUGCUGUAAUAGAAGACGUAUUCAAGGAACAAACUGAUCAGUAAAACAAAAUUUCAUUGGUGAUGAAACGACGUCGUUGAACAAGGGAAGAUAAGCAUCAAAACGACGCAGUUUCAAGGAUAUAGCCGUUAGAGAGAGGAGCCGAUGCAGAAAAAGAAAAAAAUCUUUAUUCAAAAUCUGACCGUUGUGACGGUACUCGUUCCUUUUUUAUUCACAUUCCCUCCGCAAAGAAGGAACCAAGAAAGAACAUCUCUCUCGCACUCUCUCUCUCCCCCUAGUUCUGCGAUUCGAUCUGGUAUAGGCAUGGAAGGAGCAACGGAGGAACCAAUCGGUAGUGCAGCGACGGCGAUCGUUGAUCAGACGUACGAGUUCUUGGCGCCGCGAUGGUUCGAUUUCGUUAACGGAGAGACGGAGGACGAGGCUCGCCGAGCUGAGCUCUGGUUUGCAUCGGCUCUUAGCUGCGCUCCUUCUCGUGAGUAUCUUCGUUUGAUCGCUAGAUCCCUAGGUUUCGGAAUCGUUGUUAGAUCUGGGGUUUGGAGUUCUGAUUUGAGUCUCAAUUAUGAUUAGGGUUUCUGAUUGAGAAUCGAAAUUAGGGAUUGCAAGUUGAAUCAAGAUAAUUUAUGUUCACAGUUGAAUUCAAGUUUUGUGUGUGUGUGUGUGUGUGUGCAGCAUCGGUUCCUAGAAUCAAAGCAAGGAGAUGUUUCAAGGUAGAGACAAUGUGUAACUUCAAUGAAGAAGCAGAUGAAGAAGAUAAACCAAUAAAGGUUUCGCCUCAAAUCAACAAUGAUUUAUAUCCAUUGCAAGCAGGAAACUUAUAAUUAAGAUUCAAUUUUGUUUGCAGGAUAAAGAACCGUCUGAACCAGUAGCUGCACCUAUUGCUUCACAACCGGAGACUGAUAUUACCUCUGAGGCUAAGAGAGAAGAAGUUGAUACUACUGAAGCAAGCACAACUAAGCCAUCUCUCAUCAGUUCCAAGGACGCAGCAGAUGCAAGGUUCUUUAUUUAUCUUUUUUUUUGAGAGUUUGUAAUGGCAUUUGAGUGAGAUGAGAGGCUGUUCUAAUAAUAUUUGUUCUUGUUCAUUCAACAGAAAUACCAGGGACAAAACGCCCAAGCAGAUAGAAAACAAGGAGAACAUUCCUCCUUCUAGGACAGAAGCUUGCACACCCAAACCACCACUGCAGUCAUCUCAUGGAGGAAAGUCAAUGGACCUUAAGAAGCAGCAAACUGCUAGAAAGAUAGCUAGUCUUUUGAGGAAUCCAUCUGCACUUAGGCCCAAAAAUCAGUCACAGUCGUCGUCUCAACUGAAAGGAAC
rnacentral:lncRNA from 1 species